GCAAGUCGAACGGUGAAGCCCAGCUUGCUGGGUGGAUCAGUGGCGAACGGGUGAGUAACACGUGAGCAACCUGCCCUCCACUUCGGGAUAAGCCUUGGAAACGGGGUCUAAUACCGGAUAUGAGCAUCUGCCGCAUGGUGGGUGUUGGAAAGUUUUUCGGUGGGGGAUGGGCUCGCGGCCUAUCAGCUUGUUGGUGGGGUGAUGGCCUACCAAGGCGUCGACGGGUAGCCGGCCUGAGAGGGCGACCGGCCACACUGGGACUGAGACACGGCCCAGACUCCUACGGGAGGCAGCAGUGGGGAAUAUUGCACAAUGGGCGAAAGCCUGAUGCAGCGACGCCGCGUGAGGGAUGACGGCCUUCGGGUUGUAAACCUCUUUCAGCAGGGAAGAAGGCCUUCGGGUGGACGGUACCUGCAGAAGAAGCGCCGGCUAACUACGUGCCAGCAGCCGCGGUAAUACGUAGGGCGCAAGCGUUGUCCGGAAUUAU
rnacentral:rRNA from 1 species